rnacentral:rRNA from 1 species
ACAGGUCUGUGAUGCCCUUAGAUGUUCUGGGCCGCACGCGCGCUACACUGACAGAGCCAACGAGUUCUUUCUUUUCAACGAGGAAUGCCUAGUAAGCGCGUGUCAUCAGCAUGCGUUGAUUACGUCCCUGACCUUUGUACCGGAGGAAAAGAAACCAACAGGGAUUGCCCUAGUAACGGCGAGUGAAGCGGCAACAGCUCAAAUUUGAAAUCUGGCUCUUUUAGAGUCCGAGUUGUAAUUUGCAGAGGGCGCUUUGGCUUUGGCAGCGGUCCAAGUUCCUUGGAACAGGACGUCACAGAGGGUGAGAAUCCCGUACGUGGUCGCUGGCUAUUGCCGUGUAAAGCCCCUUCGACGAGUCGAGUUGUUUGGGAAUGCAGCUCUAAAUGGGAGGUACAUUUCUUCUAAAGCUAAAUAUUGGCCAGAGACCGAUAGCGCACAAGUAGAGUGAUCGAAAGAUGAAAAGCACUUUGGAAAGAGAGUCAAACAGCACGUGAAAUUGUUGAAAGGGAAGCGCUUGCAGCCAGACUUGCUUGCAGUUGCUCAUCCGGGCUUUUGUCCGGUGCACUCUUCUGUAGGCAGGCCAGCAUCAGUUUGGGCGGUAGGAUAAAGGUCUCUGUCACGUACCUCCUCUCGGGGAGGCCUUAUAGGGGAGACGACAUACUACCAGCCUGGACUGAGGUCCGCGCAUCUGCUAGGAUGCUGGCGUAAUGGCUGUAA